rnacentral:rRNA from 1 species
GCUAAUGGAGUGUUGCUGGCCUCUAGGGGUAUGUGCACGCUUCACUAGUCUUUCAACCACCUGUGAA